AUUGGGACUGAGACACGGCCCAAACUCCUACGGGAGGCAGCAGUGGGGAAUAUUGGACAAUGGGCGCAAGCCUGAUCCAGCCAUGCCGCGUGAGUGAUGACGGCCUUAGGGUUGUAAAGCUCUUUCGUCAGGGACGAUAAUGACGGUACCUGAAGAAGAAGCCCCGGCUAACUUCGUGCCAGCAGCCGCGGUAAUACGAAGGGGGCUAGCGUUGUUCGGAAUUACUGGGCGUAAAGCGCGUGUAGGCGGGUCUUUAAGUCAGGGGUGAAAUGCCAGGGCUCAACCUUGGAACUGCCUUUGAUACUGGAGAUCUUGAGUCCGGGAGAGGUGAGUGGAACUGCGAGUGUAGAGGUGAAAUUCGUAGAUAUUCGCAAGAACACCAGUGGCGAAGGCGGCUCACUGGCCCGGUACUGACGCUGAGAUGCGAAAGCGUGGGGAGCAAACAGGAUUAGAUACCCUGGUAGUCCACGCUGUAAACGAUGGAUGCUAGCCGUUAGGCAGCUUGCUGCUUAGUGGCGCAGUUAACACUUUAAGCAUCCCGCCUGGGGAGUACGGUCGCAAGAUUAAAACUCAAAGGAAUGACGAA
rnacentral:rRNA from 1 species